rnacentral:miRNA from 1 species
UCCUGCAGCCUUGGUGCUUACU